UCUGUUUUUACUUUGUCUGUUCCCAUUAUUCUGUGCCAUGGGAGUUAAAAGUCUGGAAACUACAUUUCCCGGCCACACCUACUCCCCUCCCAGCUGGCUUCCUGUAAUGUUCUGGCAAUGAGAGGUGGUAGAAAGUUAGAAAGUGAAAAAAAAAGAUGUUUCCUUCUUCUUUUCUCUUUUAGGCUGUAACUCUGGCAGUGGCAGAAACAGCAGCAGUAUGGACUCUAGAUGGGUCCAAAAUGGUGCCAGCUGAAAUCUGAAGCUUUCCAUGGAUUUUCAUACUAGAAAUCUUCAAGAAUGCUUUUGAAACAACGAGCAGAAAACCCUGAUCACAUCCAGACUCCCUGAAGCUGACCACUGAAGACAAAGUCAGGAGAGAUGUUCUUGCUAGGAUUACAGCCUACACCCAUAUAAAAAUUGAGGAGGAAGAGCCUGGAGCUGUUUCCUGGAGCCCCAUACACGGUGAGAUGCGGACCAACCACCACCAGCGCAGCUUCCUUCUCCUCCUCUGCCUUCUCAGACAUCAGGUUCCAUCAGAUGACAAACGAGCAUUCUACAAAUUUUGUUUUAUUGUAACAUUAGGAGUGAAGUCAUGAAAGACAAGAAUGCCAGGAAGAGUUUUUCUCUGAAGAUUUUACACAAUUUUUCAGAGAAAGAAAAAUGUCUUUAAAAUG